CGGAGGAUCCAAGCGUUGUCCGGAUUUAUUGGGUUUAAAGGGUGCGUAGGCGGAUCUUUAAGUCAGUGGUGAAAGCCUGCAGCUUAACUGUAGAACAGCCAUUGAAACUGAAGAUCUUGAAUGUGGUUAAAGUAGGCGGAAUGUAUCAUGUAGCGGUGAAAUGCUUAGAUAUGAUACAGAACACCGAUAGCGAAGGCAGCUUGCUGAACCAUUAUUGACGCUGAGGCACGAAAGCGUGGGGAGCGAACAGGAUUAGAUACCCUGGUAGUCCACGCCCUAAACGUUGAUUACUCGUUGUUGGCGAUAUACUGUCAGCGACCAAGCUAAAGCGUUAAGUAAUCCACCUGGGAAUACGACCGCAAGGUUG
rnacentral:rRNA from 1 species